rnacentral:rRNA from 1 species
UAGGGAAUCUUCGGCAAUGGACGAAAGUCUGACCGAGCAACGCCGCGUGAGUGAAGAAGGUUUUCGGAUCGUAAAACUCUGUUGUUAGAGAAGAACAAGGACGUUAGUAACUGAACGUCCCCUGACGGUAUCUAACCAGAAAGCCACGGCUAACUACGUGCCAGCAGCCGCGGUAAUACGUAGGUGGCAAGCGUUGUCCGGAUUUAUUGGGCGUAAAGCGAGCGCAGGCGGUUUCUUAAGUCUGAUGUGAAAGCCCCCGGCUCAACCGGGGGGGGUCAUUGGAAACUGGGAGACUUGAGUGCAGAAGAGGAGAGUGGAAUUCCAUGUGUAGCGGUGAAAUGCGUAGAUAUAUGGAGGAACACCAGUGGCGAAGGCGGCUCUCUGGUCUGUAACUGACGCUGAGGCUCGAAAGCGUGGGGAGGAAACAGG